GAUGUUUAAGAUCAUAAUUUGCUGAUAUACUGCCCUAAUAAUAGAUCUGAAUAGGUUCCGGUGCCAAGAUUUGUCAAUCAAGUGGGUGGGGGGGAUUAAAGAGCUGUAUAACUUGUUAUGGUGGUUGCAUCUGCAUACCUGCCUCCUGCUAUUGUACAAAGGUUAAGUACUCAAUAGAAUCCAAAGGAAUGCAGGGCAUCCUUUUAAAAAGGGCCUCGGCAAAACCAGCUCCUCUCAUUUGCAAAGACGCGGCUAUGCAGUUUUGAAGUGCCAGAUCUUCUCAUAGCGAUGGAUUGCAAGGCCUGUUGCGGGCGUUGCAUUCUCUUCCUGGUCCUGGCAGUGAUCUGUGAUGUCGUGGGCCUGGUCCUCUUCCUGGUGGGCAUCCUCGCUCCGCUGAGCUUCUGGGAUUUGUUUGUGCUCUCCGGGCCUCUCGUCAUCUUCCUCAGCCUGGUGUUCUGGAUCUUCUGGUACCUGGGGAACCUCACUGUGCCAUAUAAAGAGCUGUUGCCACUUUAAGGCAGAUAGCGAUUCUGUAUCUACCGGGAAAUUGACAGGCUGGCAGGAGCUAAUCUCUCAUACAUAAAUACAGAGUUAAAGGGCUGAGCAGCAAGCUGAUGUCAAAUCUUAUGACCGACAAUGAGGAGUUUACACAGACUGAACUUACGCCUGACAAUGAUUUAAACGUACAUUUGAAUUCUCACGGCUUUUGAAGUCAAUUACGUCUUUAAACGUACCAAACCACGAGUUACCAGGGGUUCGAAGAUGAAAACUCUCCAUUUUGAGGCACUUGAAUAUGUAUAAUAACGUUGUACUUCCUUGUAAAAACCUGUGGUUGUAUUUAUGGUUAAUAAACUAUGUUCACUAUGAA